GGGGUUUUAGUUUAUAGCUAGAGAAUACUGUUUUUGUAAGACAGAGGGGUUGAUUGGGCAGGCUCCA
rnacentral:tRNA from 1 species